UACUUCAGCUUUUAUCCAUUUAGAGAGUUGGGCUAAAUGUUUGUUGUUGGAACAAACCUUUGUAUGUCAUCAGUAUCAACUCAUUUCAUCUUAUUGUUAAUGACUUGACAAAUUUGAAGAAAUCUUCAAUGGAAGCUUAUCUUGGAAAGUUCAAAGCCUUAUGACUGAAAAAGAUUGCAAAUUUUAUUGAUAGUGGCACCAUUUUGUAACGACCCAGACGGUCGUUUUGAGUAUUACGGUCAUGUUCCCCCAUUUAGUUCUCAAUUUAUGCUUUAUUGUUGUUGUAUGACUUGUCGGGGUAAUUGGUUCGGGUCCGGAGAGAUUUCGGAAUGAAUUGAGACACUUAGUCUCUUAAUGGAAAGCUUUAAGUUGGAAGAGUCGACUGGAUGUCGAUUUAUGUGUAAACGAUCUCGGAUUCGAAUUAUGAUGAUUCUAAUAGCUCAGUAUGGUGAUUUUAGACUUAGGAGCGUGUCUGAAAAAUUAUUUGGAGAUCCGUAGUGGAAUUAGGCUUGAAAUGGCGAAAGUCGAAUUUUUGGGAAGUUUGACCAGGGGGUUGACUUUUUGAUAUCGGGGUCGGAAUCCGAUUCUGAAAAUUUUAAUAGGUCUGUUAUAUCAUUUAUGACUUUUGUGCAAAAUUUGAGGUCAAUCGGACUUGACUUGAUAGGUUCCGGCGUCGUUUGUAGAAAUUUAAAAUUUCAAAGUUCAUUAGGCUUGAAUUGGGGUAUGAUUCGUGGUUUUAGUGUUGUUUGAGGUGAUUUGAGGGUUCGACUAAGUUCGCAUGAUGUUUUGGGACUUGAUGGUAUGUUUGGUUGAGGUCCCGGGGGCUCUGGUGAGUUCUGGGAUGGUUUUGGAUCAUUUUUCCUUGUUUUGCAACUGCUGGAACUGGUGUCUGGUGUUGUUCUUCGCGAACGCGAAGAAGGAUUUUGGGUUGUUGGGAUUUGCCCAUCGCGAACACGAUGAAGGAGACGCGAACGCGAAAAGGGAGUUGGGGAAAGCCUACGCGAACGCGAGUGGGCGGACGCGAACGCGGAGAGGAAAGGGAGCUGGGGGCCUGCCUGGCGUUAAGCCUUCUCGAACGCGGCUCGUGUCUCGCGGACGCGAAGGGCAGAGGUCGGAAGGCAUCGCGAACACGAUGAGGAGAUCGCGAACACGAAGAAGGAAUCUUGGCAGCACAUUUUUGUGCUUCGCGAACGCGAUGAAGGCAUUUCUGGGCAGAAUUAAAAGUUCCAAAACGGGGGUU
rnacentral:lncRNA from 1 species